GAUGAACGCUAGCGGCAGGCCUAACACAUGCAAGUCGAGGGGCAGCGCGGGUGGCAACACCUGGCGGCGACCGGCGCACGGGUGUGUAGCGCGUAUGCAACCUGCCCUUCACGGGGGGAUAGCCCGCCGAAAGGCGGAUUAAUACCCCAUGGCCCCGCGCCCCGGCAUCGGGGGGCGGGUAAAGGAGCGAUCCGGUGAAGGAUGGGCAUGCGUGCCAUUAGCUGGUUGGCGGGGUAACGGCCCACCAAGGCGAUGAUGGCUCGGGGGUCUGAGAGGAUGGUCCCCCACACUGGAACUGAGACACGGACCAGACUCCUACGGGAGGCAGCAGUGAGGGAUAUUGGUCAAUGGGCGGAAGCCUGAACCAGCCAUGCCGCGUGCAGGAAGACGGGCCUACGGGUUGUAAACUUCUUUUAUAGGGGACGAAAAAAGGGAAUUCUUUCCCGUCUGACGGUACCCUAGGAAUAAGCACCGGCUAACUCCGUGCCAGCAGCCGCGGUAACAC
rnacentral:rRNA from 1 species